UACGUAGGGGCCUAGCGUUGUCCGGAUUUAUUGGGCGUAAAGAGCUCGUAGGCGGUUCGGUAAGUCAGGUGUGAAAUCUCCGCGCUCAACUCGGAGGGGCCACCUGAUACUGCCGUGACUCGAGUCCGGUAGGGGAGUGUGGAAUUCCCGGUGUAGCGGUGAAAUGCGUAGAGAUCAUGAGGAAGACCAGUGGCGAAGGCGGGUCUCUGGACAGUUCCUGACACUGAGACACGAAGGCCAGGGGAGCAAACGGG
rnacentral:rRNA from 1 species